CACGCUGCGCAGGUCGUCUCCGCCCCUUCUCGCUGGGCGGCACCCGAGGCCUCCAGAACCGGCGCAUCCUCCUCUUCCACCAAGUUGAUUGUCCGCAUUCUCUACUGGUGGGAGAGUGAUUAGCGAGUAUAGAAGUCGUCUGACAAGCAAGAAUGUAGAAGCAUUAAUAUGCCUCCAGGAUUGGUUGAGAGCAGAAGGUUAUACCAGCUUCAAGAUGGCAGAAGAUAUUGACGAUAACGAGGAUCGGUACUAUGAAGGCACUGCAUGAAGUAAACUCUUUUCAUGAAUCGAAGAAAGAUGGUGCUUGGUCGAGCAAGGUUCUUUAGUACAAGUUAUUCUGAAAGAAUUGAGAUAUUGAGUUGACCUAGUGAACGUACUGAAAAUAGCUAUUAGUUCAAGUUCAUCUAUGUAAUAUAUCCAGAAUUGUUUGAUUGAUCUGACUAUCCAGAAUUGUAAUGUUAAAUUUUCAACAUGGUUC